rnacentral:rRNA from 1 species
AUACGGAGGAUCCGAGCGUUAUCCGGAUUUAUUGGGUUUAAAGGGUGCGCAGGCGGCCAUUUAAGUCAGCGGUUAAAUCGUGGGGCUCAACCCCAUUCUGCCGUUGAUACUGGGUGGCUUGAUUGCGGUCGAGGCUGGCGGAAUUCGUUGUGUAGCGGUGAAAUGCAUAGAUAUGACGAAGAACACCGAUUGCGUAGGCAGCUGACCAGACCGCAAAUGACGCUCAUGCACGAAAGUGCGGGGAUCGAACAGGAUUAGAUACCCUGGUAGUCCGUACAGUAAACGAUGAAUACUUGUUUUCGGCGAUAUAAUGUCGGAGGCAAAGCGAAAGCGAUAAGUAUUCCACCUGGGGAGUACGCCGGCAACGGUGAAACUCAAAUGAAUUGGCGGGG